GGGUUCGGAGAUGAAGUCCGGCUCCCGUAGGAGUCCGGAUGAAGUCUACCUGCAGUCGGAGUUUGGGGAUGAAGUCCGGCUCCCGUAGGAGUCUGGAUGAAGUCUACCUACAGCCGGAGUUCGGGGAAGAAGCCCGGCUCCCGUAGGAGACCGGAUGAAGUCUACCUGUAGCCGGAGUUCGGAGAAGAAGCCCGGCUCCUGUAGGAGACCGGAUGAAGUCUACCUGCAGCCAGAGUUCGGGGAAGAAGCCCGGCUCCCGUAGGAGACCGGAUGAAGUCUACCUGCAGCCGGAGUUCGAGGAAGAAGCCCGGCUCCCGUAGGAGACCGGAUGAAGUCUACCUGCAGUCGG
rnacentral:lncRNA from 1 species